UACGGAGGGUGCAAGCGUUAUCCGGAUUCACUGGGUUUAAAGGGUGCGUAGGAGGGUUGGUAAGUCAGUGGUGAAAUCUCCGAGCUUAACUUGGAACUGCCGUUGAUACUAUCUGUCUUGAAUACCGUGGAGGUGAGCGGAAUAUGUCAUGUAGCGGUGAAAUGCUUAGAUAUGACAUAGAACACCAAUUGCGAAGGCAGCUCGCUACACGAAUAUUGACUCUGAGGCACGAAAGCGUGGGGAGCAAACAGG
rnacentral:rRNA from 1 species